CCCCCAGACUCCUACGGGAGGCAGCAGUGGGGAAUAUUGGACAAUGGAGGGAACCCUGAUCCAGCGACGCCGCGUGAGUGAAGAAGUAUUUCGGUAUGUAAAGCCCUAUCGGCAGGGAAGAAGCAAGACGGUACCUGACUAAGAAGCCCCGGCUAACUACGUGCCAGCCGCCGCGGUAAUACGUAGGGGGCGAGCGUUAUCCGGAUUCACUGGGUGUAAAGGGAGCGUAGACGGCCAAGCAAGCCAGGGGUGAAAGCCCGGGGCCCAACCCCGGGACUGCCCUUGGAACUGCAUGGCUGGAGUGCGGGAGGGGCAGGCGGAAUUCCUGGUGUAGCAGUGAAAUGCGUAGAUAUCAGGAGGAACACCGGCGGCGAAGGCGGCCUGCUGGACCGCGACUGACGUUGAGGCUCGAAAGCGUGGGGAGCAAACAGGAUUAGAUACCCGGGUA
rnacentral:rRNA from 1 species